GCACAGCCAGCGACAACCCAUUUCUAUACAUCUCUGAGAGCGCUUGAGCAGCAGCAUCACAACGAUAGCAGGCCGGCCCAUUUCGGCGUAGCAGAGCCCACCCCGCAACCUUUCUUUUGUUUUUUCUUUCUUCUCCUUGUGCCGCUGACAUGGGGGUCCCCGGCCUCAUCUCCUUCACUGGACGAACUCCCGCACACGCAUGAGAGCUCCUCUAUCCCUGAUCCAAAUUCUCCUUUUGAAUCAGCCGACUUCUUGCCCUAGUGCAUGCUGAUGACCCUAUAUAAGAUCACCCCCCCCCCCCCCUCUGCAGAUUUUUCUUUGUUUCGCCGCCUCCCGUGCCCUAGAACGACACCCAGAUCUCACCGGAGUUCGCCGCCGUCUGAAGCUUCUGUCGGUCGAUUGCAUCACCUCUGGAGGGAAGCAAACACUCGAGUGCUUCGAGCUCGCCCCAGCGAACACCCCACCACCUGAGCUCCAGCCACCCUCUAUCGUCAUCCCCGCUCGCCACCGACGCCGCUGAGGACGUCGUCGAGACCGCAGUAGAGCUCCGCGCCUCGUACGCUACCCGUCGGAUUUUGGAGACCACCGGAGCAGCCACGACCAUCGCCACCCGAGCCACCGCGCCGCCGUUUUGUACAAGUCCGACUGCCCUGCCCUUGUUUCUCCGGAUUUUCAGAUGACCAAUGAGAUACAGUAGGGUCACGAAUCUUCACUCAGCAUUUUCACCAGCGGGCAUUGAUGGGACUCAUCGUCUAUUAUGCUACAUUUCCGCUGUUAUUAUUGAAUAAAGCUAGGUAUGUGCUACUCAGUUUGUAAUACUUUAUAAAUUCUGGAUCAUACGUUUAGUAAAUGAUGCACUUGUUACUUUGA